rnacentral:misc_RNA from 1 species
AACGCACGAGACCUGCGGACCUGCGGAGGGAUCAUUACCGAGUUUACAACUCCCAAACCCCUGUGAACAUACCACUUGUUGCCUCGGCGGAUCAGCCCGCUCCCGGUAAAACGGGACGGCCCGCCAGAGGACCCCUAAACUCUGUUUCUAUAUGUAACUUCUGAGUAAAACCAUAAAUAAAUCAAAACUUUCAACAACGGAUCUCU